GUUAAUUAAAACUUCGCUUGAAAUAUUCCCUUGACUGCUUGACCAGUUUCCUUGCAGUUGGCAUUUCCGUUGCGAUAAGUCGCCCAGAUGCUUGUUAAGCCCUCGUUGUUUUUAAAUUUGCUCUUCUAAUUGAGCUGCGUAUGCACAUUUCCUUCCGGUACUUUAUUUUAUUACUAAUACUGCUGUGCCAUAUUCUUCAGAGUAAUGUUUGAACAUAUACUCAUGGUAAUGUUUAAUUCAGAACAAAACAUACCAUUAUGAUCCUCCUCUUUGGCCAGGCUGAGGUUAAUCCUCUGUGAGCAUUAUUUCUAACCGAAAGGAUAGUCGCCUUCCACUAAAAUUAUGGCUGACUUAAGUCAUCUCUCGCCAUCUGAGUAUGAAAAGAUUACUAGCGUUCUGAAGAGGGAUCGAGAAUUAAGAUCUAUGGAAGAGGCUCGUAUUCGGGCGCUGGAUUUAACAGUUCUUUGUUUCCUCACGAACACUUCCUUUAUCAUACGGCAUUGACCAAAAUUCCGAUGCCAUUUCAAACGCCCAUGUGUGAAAAAGGUGGGAGCAAAGUCGAAAAGCAUACAAAUGAAACUUUUCAGCCCACUGGGAUCUUGCUGUCGCUGAUCUUGUAAUGAAUAAAGAAGUCAGUGAUUCUUUUUAUUGUCUGAUUCCGUUUACUGUAGCAGCUUAAAAAAGACAAGUUUGUUCAUAAAUCUUCAGUAAUUCUUAUUAAAAACAGAAUCAUUGUUACACUCAUUAGAAUCAUUGCAGAUUUAGAUUUUAGCACCAUGUCACGAAAAUUAACUUAGGUAGUGACAACCCUUGUCAUUCUGUCUCAUGAAGUAAAUUUUCUUGCAACAACCACGAUA